rnacentral:rRNA from 1 species
UACGUAGGGUGCAAGCGUUAAUCGGAAUUACUGGGCGUAAAGCGUGCGCAGGCGGCUUUGCAAGACAGAUGUGAAAUCCCCCGGGCUUAACCUGGGAACUGCAUUUGUGACUGCAUGGCUGGAGUGCGGCAGAGGGGAUGGAAUUCCGCGUGUAGCAGUGAAAUGCGUAGAUAUGCGGAGGAACACCGAUGGCGAAGGCAGCCCCCUGGGCUAACACUGACGCUCAUGCACGAAAGCGUGGGGAGCAAACAGG